rnacentral:rRNA from 1 species
AGAACGAACGCUGGCGGCAUGCCUAAUACAUGCAAGUCGAACGAACUCUUCGGAGUUAGUGGCGCACGGGUGCGUAACGCGUGGGAAUCUGCCCUUGGGUUCGGAAUAACAGUUGGAAACGACUGCUAAUACCGGAUGAUGACGAAAGUCCAAAGAUUUAUCGCCCAGGGAUGAGCCCGCGUAGGAUUAGCUAGUUGGUGAGGUAAAGGCUCACCAAGGCGACGAUCCUUAGCUGGUCUGAGAGGAUGAUCAGCCACACUGGGACUGAGACACGGCCCAGACUCCUACGGGAGGCAGCAGUAGGGAAUAUUGGACAAGUGGGCGAAAGCCUGAUCCAGCAAUGACCGCGUGAGUGAUGAAGGCCGUUAGGGUUGUAAAGCUACUUUUACCCGAGAUGAAUAAGUGACAGUA